AUGCAAGUCGAGGGGCAGCACAGGUAGCAAUACCGGGUGGCGACCGGCGCACGGGUGAGUAACGCGUAUGCAACCUGCCCUUCACUGGGGGAUAACCGGGAGAAAUUCCGACUAAUACCGCAUAUGAUGUCUGAACGAAUGUUCGGGUUUUGAAAGAUUUAUCGGUGAAGGAUGGGCAUGCGUGAUAUUAGGUAGUUGGCGGGGUAACGGCCCACCAAGCCGACGAUAUCUAGGGGUUCUGAGAGGAAGGUCCCCACACUGGUACUGAGACACGGACCAGACUCC
rnacentral:rRNA from 1 species